AUCUUAUCACGAGUGGCAGAGGGACUGGCCCGUAGAAGCCACAGCAACCGGUUCCGCGCAUAGCGGAAUGUCAGGUGCUAACUCCAGCAAGGCGCAAGCCUUGAAAGAUAAGAA
rfam:Deltaproteobacteria bacterium GWA2_54_12 gwa2_scaffold_679, whole genome shotgun sequence.